GAUGAACGCUGGCGGCGUGCCUAAUACAUGCAAGUCGAGCGAACGGACGAGAAGCUUGCUUUUCUGAUGUUAGCGGCGGACGGGUGAGUAACACGUGGAUAACCUACCUAUAAGACUGGGAUAACUUCGGGAAACCGGAGCUAAUACCGGAUAAUAUUUUGAACCGCAUGGUUCAAAAGUGAAAGACGGUCUUGCUGUCACUUAUCGAUGGAUCCGCGCUGCAUUAGCUAGUUGGUAAGGUAACGGCUUACCAAGGCAACGAUGCAUAGCCGACCUGAGAGGGUGAUCGGCCACACUGGAACUGAGACACGGUCCAGACUCCUACGGGAGGCAGCAGUAGGGAAUCUGCCGCAAUGGGCGAAAGCCUGACGGAGCAACGCCGCGUGAGUGAUGAAGGUCUUCGGAUCGUAAAACUCUGUUAUUAGGGAAGAACAUAUGUGUAAGUAACUGUGCACAUCUUGACGGUACCUAAUCAGAAAGCCACGGCUAACUACGUG
rnacentral:rRNA from 1 species